AGAGCGAACGCUGGCGGCGUGCUUAACACAUGCAAGUCGAACGAGGUUUGUAGCAAUACAGAUACUCGUGGCGAACGGGUGCGUAACACGUGGAUAACCUUCCUUCAGGUGGGGAAUAACCCAGUGAAAAUUGGGCUAAUACCGCAUAACAUGACGAUGCCACAUGGUGUUGUCUUCAAAGGCGCAAGUCGCCAGAAGAGGGAUCCGCGGCCGAUUAGCUAGUUGGCGAGGUAAUGGCUCACCAAGGCAAUGAUCGGUAGCCGGACUGAGAGGUUGGCCGGCCACACUGGAACUGAGACACGGUCCAGACUCCUACGGGAGGCAGCAGUGGGGAAUCUUGCACAAUGGACGAAAGGUCUGAUGCAGCAACGCCGCGUGGGGAUGAAGCUUUUCGGAGUGUAAACCCCUUUCGACCCGGAAGAAAGCCCGCAAGGGUUUGACGGUACGGGUAUAAGAAGCCCGGCUAACUACGUGCCAGCAGCCGCGGU
rnacentral:rRNA from 1 species